GCCGGCGUAGCUCAGAGGUAGAGCAGGGGUCUCAUAAGCCCCGUGUCAGUGGUUCGAUUCCACUCGCCGGCACCA
rnacentral:tRNA from 3 species